rnacentral:sRNA from 1 species
UAAUGAACAACGCAAAAAACAACAUUCAGGCUCCUCUAAACACAUUGAUGCGAGGUGCGCCGCAAGGCUUGCGCCCAAGACCUUCAAUCGCGAGGAACAGAGAAUGGAGAACGAAGCGAACAAUCUUGGGUGCGGUGCUCCCCAGCCUUUUGUGCUCGUGGGGAGGAUCGCAAUGAUUGCACGUACAU